UACGUAGGGUGCGAGCGUUGCCCGGAUUUAUUGGGCGUAAAGGGCGCGUAGGCGGUGCCGUACGUCCGUUGUGAAAAUCGCUCGGCUCAACUGGGCGGGGUCAGCGGAUACGGUGGCACUUGAGCAAGCUAGGGGGCAAUGGAAUUCCCGGUGUAGUGGUGGAAUGCGUAGAUAUCGGGAGGAACACCAGUGGCGAAGGCGAGUCCCUGGACAACACCUGACACUGAGGCACGAAAAGCUAGGGGAGCAAACAGG
rnacentral:rRNA from 1 species